ACUUGCAGGGCUUAUAUGGGAC
rnacentral:piRNA from 1 species